UUUAAGAACUGAAUUUAUAACAAUUUGAAUUGGAUAUUUUAAACGCCAUUUCUUCUUUGACAACGUUACUGCACAAGUUCUAGAGGGACACGCGACGUUGAGCCAUUAGCACCAUUUAUACUCCUCUUACGAUCACACAUUAGCCAUGCAGCACAGCAACAACUUUAAAAAAAAUUGAGGACAAGCGAGUGUGGGGACUAUAAACUGCGUUGGAGAGAACCUGUCAGGCUCAGAGGACAAUGGCACAACACAUCCCCCGACCUCAACCAAAUUGAGAUGGCUUGGUGUAACGAUCUUCAUCUGAGGAACAGCUAAUAUCGGACCAAAACGCAGCGUGACCUCUGCAAUCCGCCCUGGCAUGCUGUCAAUUAACUUCUGGGCCCUGACUGAUGGAAGCCCAUUCUUGCAUAAUCAAUGCUUGAAGUUUGUCAGAAUUUGUGGGUUUGUGUUUGUCCACCCACCUCUUGAGGAUUGACCACAAGUUCUCAAUGGAAUUAAGGUCUGGGGAGUUUCCUGGCCAUGGACCCAAAAUAUCAAUGUUUUGUUCCCCGAGCCACUUAGUUAUCACUUUUGCCUUAUGGCAAGGUGCUCCAUCAUGCUGGAAAAGGCAUUGUUCGUCACCAAACUGUUCCUGGAUGGUUGGGAGAGGUUGCUCUCUGAGGAUGUGUUGGUACCAUUCUUUAUUCAUGGCUGUUUGACAUAGAAACAUCAGAUUCAUGUGUUCUUAGGUAAAAUUGUGAGUGAGCCCACUCCCUUGGCUUAGAAGCAACUCCACACAUGAAUGGUCUCAGGAUGCUUUACUGUUGACAUGACACAGGACUGAUGGUAGCGCUCACCUUGUCUUCUCCGGACAAGCUUUUUUCCGGAUGCCCCAAACAAUCGGAAAGGGGAUUCAUCAGAGAAAAUGUCUUUACCCCAGUCCUCAGCAGUCCAAUCCCUGUACCUUUUGCAGAAUAUCAGUUUGUCCCUGAUGUUUUUCCUGGAGAGAAGUUGCUUCUUUGCUGCCCUUCUUGACACCAGGCCAUCCUCCAAAAGUCUUCACCUCACUGUGCGUGCAGGUGCACUCACACCUGCCAGCUGCCAUUCCUGAGCAAGCUCUGUACUGGUGGUGCCCCUGGUCCCAGAGCUGAAUCAACUUUUAGGAGAGGGUCCUGGCUCUUGCUGGACUUUCUUGGAGCCCUGAAGCCUUCUUCACAACAAUUGAACCGCUCUCCAUUGAAGUUCUUGAUGAUCCGAUAAAUGGUUGAUUAGGUGCAAUCUUACUGGCAGCAAUAUCCUUGCCUGUGAAGCCCUUUUGUGCAAAGCAAUGAUGACGGCAUGUGUUUCUUUGAGGGUAACCAUGGUUGACAGAGGAAGAACAAUGAUUCCAAGCACCAUCGUCUUUUUGAAGCUUCCAGUCUGUUAUUCGAACUCAAUCAGCAUGACAGAGUGAUCUCCAGCCUUGUCCUCGUCAACACUCACACCUGUGUUAACGAGAGAAUCACUGACAUGAUGUCAGCUGUUCCUUUUGUGGCAGGGCUGAAAUGCAGUGGGAUUCAGUUCAUUUGCAUGGCAAAGAGGGACUUUGCUACAGUGCCUUGCGAAAGUAUUCGGCCCCCUUGAACUUUGCGACCUUUUGCCACAUUUCAGGC
ensembl:lncRNA